GCCCGGCGCGGGGAGGGCCGGGGGCUCUUCUCUGCGCUGCGACGCUCCGCCCCCGCUCCCGGCCGGGGCCCCGUGCAGCCUUUGGCGGCGCUCAGCAAUCUCCAGUGGCGCGGCCUUUACCAUCCAAGUUUGGAGGGAUGACAGUGUACACUGCCAAGAUAACUGGAUUGGAAGGGUUCCAGUUCAAGCUAGCACACUUUUCCUAUUCCUCCACCCACCUCUGACCUCCGACCUCCAGGGCCUGCUGCUGAAUUGGCAUAUUUGUUCUGCCAGGCUCCUUCUGUGUGGACCACUCAGCAAGGUAUAUUCCUAGUACCAAUGGUGUGCUGGAGCUGACUCAUACCAAAUUACAAUUGCAAUAGCCAAUUGUUGAACUUCAGGAAUUUUGAAAGCUGGUGAUAAUGCCCAGCUACUAUUAAAAAUUAAAUUAUAUCUUUGACAUAAAUCACAGCAAGAUCCUUUUUCACCCACCUCCUAGAGAAAUGGAAAUAAAAACGAAAAUAAACAAAUGGGACCUAAUGAAACUUAAAAGCUUUUGCACAGCAAAGGAAACCAUAAACAAGACGAAAAGACAACUCUCAGAAUGGGAGAAAAUAUUUGCAAAUGAAGCAACUGACAAAGGAUUAAUCUCCAAAAUUUACAAGCAGCUCAUGCAGCUCAAUAUCAAAAAAACAAACAACCCAGUCCAAAAAUGGGCAGAAGACCUAAAUAGACAUUUCUCCAAAGAGGAUAUACAGAUUGCCAACAAACACAUGAAAGAAUGCUCAACAUCAUUAAUCAUUAGAGAAAUGCAAAUCAAAACUACAAUGAUACAAUGAGGUAUCACCUCACACCAGUCAGAAUGGCCAUCAUCAAAAAAUCUACAAACAAUAAAUGCUGGAGAGGUUGUGGAGAAAAGGGAACCCUCUUGCACUGUUGGUGGGAAUGUAAAUUGAUACAGCCACUAUGGAGAACAGUAUGGAGGUUCCUUAAAAAACUAAAAGUAGAACUACCAUAUGACCCAGCAAUCCCACUACUGGGCAUAUACCCUGAGAAAACCAUAAUUCAAAAAGAGUCAUGUACCAAAAUGUUCAUUGCAGGGCUUCCCUGGUGGCACAGUGGUUGAGAGUUCACCUGCCAACGCAGGGGAUACAGGUUCGUGCCCUGGUCCAGGAGGAUCCCACAUGCCGCGGAGCGGCUGGGCCCGUGAACCAUGGCCGCUGAGCCUGCGCGUCCGGAGCCUGUGCUCCACAACGGGAGAGGCCACAACAGUGAGAGGCCCGCGUACCACCAAAAAAAAAAAAAAAAAAAAUGUUCAUUGCAGCUCUAUUUACAAUAGCCAGGACAUGGAAGCAACCUAAGUGUCCAUCAACAGAUGAAUGGAUAAAGAAGAUGUGGCACAUAUCUGCAAUGGAAUAUUACUCAGCCAUGAAAAGGAACAAAACUGAGUUAUUUGUAGUGAGGUGGAUGGACCUAGAGACUGUCAUUCAGAGUGAAGUCAGAAAGAGAAGAACAAAUACCAAAUGCUAACACAGAUAUAUGGAAUCUAAAGAAAAAAAAAAAGAAAGUGGUCAUGAAGAACCUAGGGGCAAGACUGGACUAAAGAUGCAGACCUACUAGAGAAUGGACUUGAGGACAUGGGGAGGGGGAAGGGUAAGCUGGGACAAAGUGAGAGAGUGGCAUGGACAUAUAUACACUACCAAACGUAAAAUAGAUAGCUAGUGGGAAGCAGCCGCAUAGCACAGGGAGAUCAGUUCGGUGCUUUGU